UAGUAACUGCGAGUGAAGCGGGAAAAGCUCAAAUUUGUAAUCCGUCCCCCGACGGAGUUGUAAUCUAGAGAAGUGUUUUCGGCCGUUGUCUCGGAUAAGUCCCCUGAAACAGGGCGUCAUAGAGGGUAACAAUCCCGUCCUUACCGAGGUCGCAAUGUCUAUGUGAUACACUCUCGAAGAGUCGAGUUGUUUGGGAAUGCAGCUCAAAAUGGGUGGUAAAUUCCAUCUAAAGCUAAAUAUUGGCGAGAGACCGAUAGCGAACAAGUACCGUGAGGGAAAGAUGAAAAGCACUUUGGAAAGAGAGUUAAACAGUACGUGAAAUUGCUAAAAGGGAAGCGCUUGAAGUCAGUCGCGUCGUCAGAGACUCAACCUCACUCAUGGUGUAUUUCUCUGGUGACGGGCCAACAUCGAUUUUGGGCGUGGGAAUAGGAUACAGGGAAUGUGGCAGCCUCGGCUGUGUUAUAGCCCUGCAAUCGUAAACCACGCCUGGGAUCGAGGACCGCGGCUCUGCCUA
rnacentral:rRNA from 1 species